GAUUAGCCAUGCAUGUCUAAGUACAUGCCGUAUUAAGGCGAAACCGCGAAUGGCUCAUUAAAUCAGUCAUGGUUCCUUGGAUCGUACCUUACUACUUGGAUAACUGUGGCAAUUCUAGAGCUAAUACAUGCAGCAGAGCUCCGACCUUCGGGGACGAGCGCUUUUAUUAGACCAAAACCAAUCGGACCUCGUGUCCGUCCUUUGUGGUGACUCUGUAUAACUUUGGGCUGAUCGCACGGGCCUGUCCCGGCGACGUAUCUUUCAAGUGUCUGCCUUAUCAACUUUCGAUGGUAGGUUACGCGCCUACCAUGGUCGUAACGGGUAACGGGGAAUCAGGGUUCGAUUCCGGAGAGGGAGCCUGAGAAACGGCUACCACAUCCAAGGAAGGCAGCAGGCGCGCAAAUUACCCACUCCCAGAACGGGGAGGUAGUGACGAAAAAUAACAAUACGGGACUCUUUUGAGACCCCGUAAUUGGAAUGAGUACACUCUAAAUCCUUUAACGAGGAUCCAUUGGAGGGUAAGUCUGGUGCCAGCAGCCGCGGUAAUUCCAGCUCCAAUAGCGUAUAUUAAAGUUGUUGCGGUUAAAAAGCUCGUAGUUGGAUCUCAGUUCCAGACGGGUGGUCCGCCUACCGGUGGUUACUGCCUGUUCUGAACAGUCAGCCGGUUUCUCUUGAUGAUCUUCACCGGUUGUCUUGGGUGACCGGCAAGUUUACUUUGAAAAAAUUAGAGUGCUCAAGCAGGCGUGACGCCUGAAUAAUGGUGCAUGGAAUAAUGGAAUAGGACCUCGGUUCUAUUUUGUUGGUUUUCGGAACACGAGGUAAUGAUUAAGAGGGACAGACGGGGGCAUUCGUAUUGCGACGCUAGAGGUGAAAUUCUUGGACCGUCGCAAGACGAACUACUGCGAAAGCAUUUGCCAAGAAUGUUUCCAUUAAUCAAGAACGAAAGUUAGAGGUUCGAAGGCGAUCAGAUACCGCCCUAGUUCUAACCAUAAACGAUGCCAGCCAGCGAUCCGGCUGUGU
rnacentral:rRNA from 1 species